GCUCUGAUGUCCUGAGGGAGGUCUUGCUCUCACUUUUCUGCAAAUGCUUCUUCACCCCAGUUAGUUUAUUACAGCUUUACACCAGCAGCAGAGUCUCAUAAUCAUGAGGAGACACAUCUUUAUCUUUCUGGCUGUGAUCCUCUCAGCAUCAGGACAAACACAAAACAAGGAUGUUCAUCAGAAUCCCUCCGAGCUGAUUAUUAAUCCAGGAGAUAAUCAAGGACUGAAUUGCAGCCACAGUAUUCCAUCUUACUUUAUGAUAUUAUGGUAUCAAAAAUUCCCUGGAAACACUUCCCUGAAUCUUAUCGGAUAUGUGUCUAACACAAAUCCAACUGUUGAAAACUCUUUUAAGGGUCGCUUUACUGUAUAUGGAAAUGGAGCCAAGCAGUCUACUCUUCAUCUUGGGAAACUGAAGGCUGAGGACAGUGCUGUGUAUUACUGUGCAGCUAGUCAAACACAGUGCUUCAAAAGCCCUCCCUCUAAUACAAAAACCUCCUGCCUACAGCUCUACUGA